UACGAGGGGUGCAAGCGUUGCUCGGAAUUAUUGGGCGUAAAGGGUUGGUAGGUGGUCUUGUUUGUCUAGGGUGAAAUCCCAUGGCUUAACUGUGGAAGUGCCCUAGAAACGGCAAGACUAGAGUCCUAGAGGGGUUUGUGGAAUUCCCGGUGUAGCGGUGAAAUGCGUAGAGAUCGGCAGGAACACCCAGGGAGAAAUCAGCCGCCUGGGCAAGUGCUGACGCUGAGGUGCGAAAGCGUGGGGAGCGAACCGG
rnacentral:rRNA from 1 species